rnacentral:rRNA from 1 species
GAUGAACGCUGGCGGCGUGCCUAAUACAUGCAAGUCGAGCGAACGGACGAGAAGCUUGCUUCUCUGAUGUUAGCGGCGGACGGGUGAGUAACACGUGGAUAACCUACCUAUAAGACUGGGAUAACUUCGGGAAACCGGAGCUAAUACCGGAUAAUAUUUUGAACCGCAUUGUUCAAAAGUGAAAGACGGUCUUUCUGUCACUUAUAGAUGGAUACGCGCUUCAUGAGCUAGUUGGUAAGGUAACGGCUUACCAAGGCAACGAUGCAUAUCCGACGUGAGAGGGUGAUCGGCCACCCUGGAAGUGAGACACGGUCCAGACUCCUACGGGAGGCAGCAGUAGGGAAUCUUACGCAAUGGGCGAAAGCAUGACGGAGCAACGGCGCGUGAGUGAUGAAGGCCUUCGGAUCGUAAAACUCUGUUAUUAGGGAAGAACAUAUGUGCAAGUAACUGUGCACAUCUUGACGGUACCUAAUCAGAAAGCCACGGCUAACUACGUG